rnacentral:lncRNA from 1 species
GUCAUCCUCUGAGUUGAAAUGUGUCAGCCCUUGACUUCAGAUAGAGCUUUUAUCAACGUAAAUGCACUUUUAAGCUUGGCAAACAAGUGCAUAUCUUUCCAAAUGAAAUUGCUAACAAAAGAUCAUACCAGAGGCCUUUGUGGGAGAAGAAACAGCAGAGAUGCAAGUCUCAAGUCAGAUUCUCUACUGUCUUAUUCCAGAUUUUUGCCAGUGCAUUGAGGUCAAUGGAGCUACAGUGCUUAAAACUGGGCCCACAGCAGCCAGUACAGAACAAUGCAAGAAACUGACACUGGAUUGCUGAACCACAGGUUUGAUCUGCUAUGCAACUAUUCCCCUUACAAAAGAAGAUGGGCUGAUGGGUCUGCAUAGCAUCUUUGGACACCUUGAAUGAUAUGUUUUCUACCUCACCAACUCAGUAAUAUGAUUAGAAAGAUUUGCAAUAAAGCUUCCAAAUGUUUCA